AAUGGCAGGUCAGCAUACUGCCGUGAAUACGUUCCCGGGCCUUGUACACACCGCCCGUCACACCAUGAGAGUUGGGGAUACCCGAAGCCUGUGAGCUAACUAUUUAUAGGAGCAGCAGUCGAAGGUAGAAUCAAUGAUUGGGGUGAAGUCGUAACAAGGUAGC
rnacentral:rRNA from 1 species